AGUACCUAGAGUAACCGAAUAAAACAGAGAUAAAAAAAAAUUUGUCCAUGUGGCAGGUAGAUUUACGGGCUAAAGCGCUAUAUAUAACUUACAGUUAUACCUUAGGAAAUCCGAGUUUUAGAUUUCAAAAAAUGCAAAUUAUGUAAAUUAAUGAAAAAAAUGUUUUUAAAAAGUCUUCAGUAUGGUACAAAUAAAACUGGUGUGCCCGUUGUUUCAAGAGAAAAAGACUAGAAUAGCACUAAACCAAGUUUUUGUUUCCAAAGUAGUACUCAAGGAUCAAAGUCACAAAAAUAGGUUUCAUUAAAGAGUUAAAUAUACACUUAUACCCCCUUGGGUUAAUUAAUCCAAACUUUAGGGUUUAGAGUUAAGGGGUGGGGUUAUAAAAAAUAAAUACUAAAAUAAAAAAUAAAAAUUUAAAAAACAGUUUCAAAAAGUAUUUUUAAAUUAUAAAAAGAAAAUUUGAAAAAAAAAAAUAAAUUUAAAAAAAAAAUUUAUAAAAAUUUCGAAUCUGAAAACGUGUAAUCUGAAACUAUAAAAAAAAUUAUUUAUUUUUAUUUUUUUUAUUUUUAUUUUUAUUUUUUUAUUUUUAUUUUAUUUAUUUUUGUUUGUUUAUUUAAUUUUAAACCAAGGGUAUUAGGGAUAUUUUACCCUUUAAUGAAUGUCAUUUUUGUGACUUUCUCCUUCUAGUGCUAUUUUUGAGACAUAAACUUCAAAAGAUGUUAUUAUUGAC
rnacentral:lncRNA from 1 species